ACUGUACGACAAAUCCCUGCCAGUAAAAUGAACUUCGUGAACUUGGCUUAUUGCUCAGUACCACGUGGAUAACUUGCCCUAAGGUCUGGCAUAAUUCCGUGAGACUGGGGAUAUUCCGGAUAAGAUCAUGGAUGCUGGAAUGCACCGUGGUCGAAAGCUUUUGUGCCUAAGGAUGGGUCUGCGGUCUAUCAGGUUGUAGUGGGUGUAACGUACCUACUAGCCUACGACGGAUACGGGUUGUGGGAGCAAGAGCCCGGAGAUGGAUUCUGAGACAUGAAUCCAGGCCCUACGGGGCGCAGCUGGCGCGAAACCUUUACAAUGCGGGAAACCGCGAUAAGGGGACACCGAGUGCCAGCAUCCUAUGUUGGCUGUCAUAAUGUAGAAAUAACAUGUGUUAGCAAGGGCCGGGCAAGACCGGUGCCAAGCCGCCGCGGUAACACCGGCGGCCCGAGUGGUGGCACUAUUAUUGGGUCUAAAGGGUCCGUACCCGGUUUGGUCACGCUUCCGGGAAAUCUGACGGCUUAACCGUUAGGCUUUCGGGGGAUACUACCAGGCUUGGGACCGGGAGAGGUAAGAGGUACUACGGGGGUAGGAGUGAAAGCUUGUAAUCCCUGUGGGACCACCAGUGGCCAAGGCGUCUAACCAGAACGGGUCCGACGGUGAGGGACAAAAGCUGGGGGCACGAACCGGAUUAGAUACCCGGGUAGUCCCAGCCGUAAACUAUGCUAGGUAGGUGUCAGGGACGGUCAGACCGUNCNUGGUGCCGUAGGGAAGCCGUGAAGCGACCACCUGGGAAGUAAGGUCGCAAGGCUGAAAUUAAAGGAAUAGGCAAGGGAGCAC
rnacentral:rRNA from 1 species